rnacentral:rRNA from 1 species
AUGAGCGGCGGCGUCUCGGGCGCGGCCUCGCCGGAGGUCGGAAGCGGCGACGAGUGGCCGCGCAUCUUCGACCGGGUCGAGGCGCUGCUGCCGCGGGUCGAGGAGCUCGCCGCCGACCGCGCGCGCAGCAGGGCCCACCAGGAGUCGUCGGAAGCCCGCGAGAACGCCCUCCAUGCCCGCCUCCUCCAGGCGGAGGCGAGCAGGAGGAGGUGGAAGGCGGCCUACACGGAGCUGCCUCCCGGUGCCAAUCCCAAGCUCGCCGAACUUCAAGAAAAUGACUUGGUGGAUUCCAAAGCCUGUGAAGGGAUUAUUUAUGCCGGUGGCUCUGAUCCAGAGAUACAACAGGGGGGCUCCAGAAAUGGCCGACAGUUCAGUCAGAACAACGAGGAUCAUGAGGACACCGCAAGAGACUUGAAAGCAGAACUAAAUAAACUGAAGCAAGUUUAUGGGACAAUGAGCUCAAAAAAGGAUAAGGAAGUUUCUGAAUUACUUGUAGUGCAGAAUUUCCUGUGGAACCAAUUGAGGACAAUGGACAAGGACAACACAGCGCUCCUUAAAAUGAAAGAAGUGGAGGCAGCUCAAGCUACUGAAGCAGCCCAAAAGGUUCAGCAGAAUGUAGAGGAGCUGCAGGUGGCUGCCCGAAAUAAGGAUGCUGAGAUUGACAGAUUGAGAGCAGAGGCUGCUAAUGCAAAAACAAGGGUACUGGUUCUUGAGGGUAAGCUGCUGGAAAUGCAAUCCUUGGUUAAGGAGAAGAACGAUGAAAUACAAAAAAUCAGAAGUGGGCAACCUGAGAGUCUGAAAUGCAAAUGCGCCUCUUCUCUAUCAAAUGAGACUAGUCAAAAGCGCAGGAAGCUUACCAACGAGAUGCAUUUUGGACAGUGCACGAGCAUGAAGAUUUUUACCGUUAUAUUCCUCAGUGUGGUGGAGGUUAUGUACUUGCCAGAGGGCCAUGAAGCAUAUCUUGAUGGAAUGCGGUUAUCUGAUAGUUGCCCAUGUGAUCGGAUCAAAGACCUUAAAGCUGUAGAGCUUUGCAGAAUUGAGGGUCUUGGUUAUUCAGCUUAUGGUGAAAUCUGUUGUACAUUAGCACUUAAAUUCAUUGAUGACACUUCAAGCGGAUUUGGCAAACAGUUUAUAAUCACAUUGCUUGAGCUGGCUGACUUUUCUGAUUUUCUUGUGGAAAGAACACGGUUUGAAGCUACUAUUGUGCAGAACUGGACUAUCAGAGAUAAGUGCAAAGUUUGGAGCAUGGAUGAUGGAGAGGAAGAACGAAGUUGGUGGGAGGGACAUGUGUUGGCAAUAACACCUGAUUCGCCUGAUUUUCCUGAGAGUCCAUGGCUUAAAUAUGCUAUACAGUUUUAUGAUGGCUCUGACUUUCUGUAUAGCCCCUGGGAGCUCCAUGCUGCUGGCCCAUUGGUUCCAUGGAAACAUCCACAUAUUGAUUCCAGUAUCAGGAAUAAACUGUUAUCAGCAGUGACCACUUUACAGAAAAUGUCUCACAAAAACCAGGAUUACUAUGGUGUUCUGAAGUUGGAUACUGUUGUAGGAGAAUCAGAUUUCAUAAACAGGUUUCCUGUCCAGUUUUCCAUCGAAGUGAUCAGGGCAAGACUGCAGAACGAUUACUACAGAACUCUGGAUGCUGUCCAACAUGAUGCGACUGUGAUGCUUGCCAAUGCCAAGUCUUGCUUCUCAAAGAGCUCUGUAAUGACCAAAAAGAUCCACAGGCUAUCAGAGUGGGUCAAUGAUAACAUUCAAUCGCUGUAG